CCUACGGGUGUCAGCAGUGGGGAAUAUUGCACAAUGGGCGAAAGCCUGAUGCAGCGACGCCGCGUGAGUGAAGAAGUAUUUCGGUAUGUAAAGAUCUAUCAGCAGGGAAGAAAAUGACGGUACCUGACUAAGAAGCACCGGCUAAAUACGUGCCAGCAGCCGCGGGAAUACGUCGGGGGCAAGCGUUAUCCGGAUUUACUGGAUGGAAAGGGAGCGUAGAAGGCGAAGCAAGGCUGAAUUGAAUACCCCGGGCCCAACCCUGGGACUGCAUUGGAAAAUGUUUUGCUAGAGUGUCGGAGAGUUAAUUGGAAGUCCUAGUGUAGCGGUGAAAUGCGUAGAUAUUAGGAGGAACACCAGUGGCGAAGGCGGCUUACUGGACGAUAACUGACGUUGAGGCUCGAAAGCGUGGGGAGCAAACAGGAUUAGAUACCCGAGUAGUC
rnacentral:rRNA from 1 species